GACGAACGCUGGCGGCGUGCUUAACACAUGCAAGUCGAACGAUGAAGCUGGAGCUUGCUCCGGUGGAUUAGUGGCGAACGGGUGAGUAACACGUGAGCAAUCUGCCCUUGACUCUGGGAUAACUGCGGGAGACUGUAGCUAAUACCGGAUACGAGAUUUGGAGGCAUCUCCGGAUCUGGAAAGAAUUUCGGUCAAGGAUGAGCUCGCGGCCUAUCAGCUUGUUGGUGAGGUAAUGGCUCACCAAGGCGACGACGGGUAGCCGGCCUGAGAGGGUGACCGGCCACACUGGGACUGAGACACGGCCCAGACUCCUACGGGAGGCAGCAGUGGGGAAUAUUGCACAAUGGGCGAAAGCCUGAUGCAGCAACGCCGCGUGAGGGAUGAAGGCCUUCGGGUUGUAAACCUCUUUUAGUAGGGAAGAAGCGAAAGUGACGGUACCUACAGAAAAAGCACCGGCUAACUACGUGCCAGCCGCCGCCGUAA
rnacentral:rRNA from 1 species